AGUGGAUGUAUUCCACGGUGAGUGUAUCAUCAGACACUACUCACCGGGUUUGCAUUCAUUC
rnacentral:pre_miRNA from 1 species